rnacentral:piRNA from 1 species
GAGAUACAUGUCACUGUUGGAGCCC